GUCUUCUAGGAGACACGGAGAACAGAUAUUAGGAGACUGAAAUGUGAUCCCACUGAAACAUACGCUGCUGAACUCUCAAAGGAAAUAACACAACCAAGUUUGUCUAUGAGCCUUUGCACACGUAGAGCAUGCUUCUUACUAUAGAGAGACAAGCUCUAAUUUCUCAAGUUAGGGUCACUUGUAAACAGGGAAGUUCACUGUAGUGAGUGUACCCUCAUGAAGACAUAUGGUUUUAGGCAAUGAACAGUACACACCUACAUGUGCGUAACAGGAGCCCACUUAACGCUUCUGGAUUUUCUAACUGUAUGAAGUCAGUUAAUUCCUGUGUAAGUUGUAUGUUGUCUCUAUCCCCAAUCACUAUAACCUCACUGAUCUGGCAAUUUGCCUUAUGACACAAAGGAAAGAUGUCAUCUUUCUGAAGCCCCCGGGAACAGAAGAGAAACCCGCAGGAGGACCAGUAUGACUGCUGCCUCAGAGGCAGGAAGCCCAAGCUGCAGGAAAAAGAGCAGAUGCAGAGAGGCUGGGUGUCCAGAAUGAAAGACAAUGCUACUCAAGUCUGAUGAUCUUCAAAUGAAGGUAGCAGGUACUAUGGUUCCAUAAACUUCUAUAAUUAUAACAAAACUUGACUUCUAUGGGCUAGAAAUCCAUGCAGACAUAUAUGUAAUAGUACUAAUCCUUUUGUUUCACUUUAAUAAAUUAAAAAUUAUUUAUUUUAUGUGUAUGAGUACUUUGCCUAUAUGUUUGCAUGUGCACCACAUGUGUGCCUGAGUGCUUGUGGAGGCCAGAAGAGGAAAUGGAGUUACCAUCAAACCCAGGUCCUUGGCUAGAGCAAUGGUACUCUUAACUAUUGAGCCAUCUUUCUGGCUCCUAAAAAUGUUUUUUUUGGGGGGUGGGGUGGGGGGAUGGACAAAGUUUCACUUGGUAGCUCAAUCUGACCUCAAACUCGGUGAUCAACCUCAGACUCUUUAAACACUGGAAUCACAUGUGUAACCCACAAAGUCUGGCUAAAUACCUGUGUAUUUUUUGCUAGGUUAAUACUGUUAACUUGUAAGAUAAAAGGCGAUUUAAUUUACAAAGAGCUGAUCUAAUGCACAAACCAGAAUUCCAAGGGAUAUUUCUAUGGUAUCUAAUUAACCUCUACGUCUGUUUUAGGGUCUGCUUAAUUUUGAAUAGGAAGUCACUGUUGUAUACUCAAACACAAACAGAACUCACCCUCCCGUUUGUUUACAAGGUUAUUUUUGUAUUGAGUUUUUAAUAAGUACACACCUUCCACUGCCUGCAGCUCUCUAACUAGGGGUGUGGCCUUGGCAGCAUGAUGCUGUCAUUACUCAGGCAACCACGCUGUGGAGAUUUCAUGGGUACAACUUCCCUGCUGUGUCUAGAAGACACUGCCUCCCAGCAAGGGUCCCUUAGUUUAUAAAACUUCCUCACCCAGCAUCUUCUUCCUGCCCACUCUAAUCACAGAGGUCAUUCCCUUCAGAAGUUACAUAUCCAAUCGCUAUCGUAUGAUCACCAAACACCCAUGUUUUAUCAGGCAUUAGCAGUAGCUCCCUUUUGCCUUUCCUGGCUUUGUAUCUCUCCCAUCACAGUCCAUACUCCCUAUGAGCCUCCUUGCUACUUCAAAGGUGUCAUUGCCUGAACGGAAACGCCUAGUUUCCAGUUGGUGAAAUGUUUAGGACAGGUUAGGGGUGUGGCCCUGGUGGAGGAGGCGUGUCACUGGGAAUGGGAUAGGUUUCAAACGCCCACAACAGGUCCAAUCUCACUCUAUUUCUGCCUCCUGAGUGGGAAUCAGGAUGUGAAUUCUCGUACCAUGCCUGCUGUCCACAGCCACACCUCCACGAUAAUGAUCAGGAACUAACCUCUGAAACUAUAAGCAAGUCUCCAGUGAAAUGCUUUUUCUAUAUGCUGUCUUGGUCAAGUUAUAAAACAAUCAGUAAGACAAAAGGCACGCUUUCAUUAUAUGUUUUCUGUUUACUUUUGUUGUUUUGAGACAGACCUACUAUGGAGCUCAGGCGGCCUUGAAUUCUUAAUCCUCCUGCCUUAUCUCCUGCGUGCUCAUAUUAUGACACUAUACCUGCCUUUGCAUUUACACUUUUCUAAGAGAAAGAUUUUAUUCUAUUAUUUUUAAAUUUUAAUUUUUAAAUUAUGUGUGUGAGUCAGGGUUUGUAUAUGUAAGUGCAGUACCUGGAGAGACCAGAAGAGGGCAUCAAUCCCCUGGAACUGGAGCUAUAGAUAGUUGUGAGCCACCUAACAUAGGUGUGAGAAACUGAUUUUGGGUCCUCUGCAAGGAAAGUAUAGGCUCUUAAUCUCUUAGCAGCAAAGCAGUCUCUCCAGCUCCCCCCUUAAAACAUUUUAAAAGAGUCUUUCAUUUUUAUUUUUUUUUAGUUUGUUUUGUGUGUGUGUGUGUGUGUGUGUGUGCGCGUGCGUGCGCGGGGGGGGGGCAGACAGACAGACAAACAGAGACAGAGGGUGUGUACAUUUGAGUGUUAGCUGUCUGUGGUGGUUGUGAGUUAUUGGAUGUGGGCGCUAGGAACUGAACUCGGGUCCUUUGCAAGAACAAUGCAAACUUUAACCACUGAGCACCUGCUAUAGGCCCCAGGUCUUGUAAAGUUUCUACUUUAAUUGUCUUAUUGUCUACGUCUACAAUGCUCUCUGCUCAUCACAAAGAUCCCAUUCAUUGGUCAAGAUCCUAAAAAUACUUGUGAUUCCUCUAAUGAAAAUUACUCUGUUCUCUGGUAUUUUCAUACUUCUUCACUGGUAAUUUGAUUAUAUCCUUGCUAACAAGUUUGUAUUUUUCUUUCAAAUUUCUGAAAUUCUUGAAAAAACAAACUAUCUUUUUGUGAGUCAGUCUAGCCUCUGCAUUGGGUAGCUCAGGGCCUACACAGUGUGUACUCAAUAAAUAAUUACAAAAUGAUGAUUAUAGUAUGCCAGAUCCUUGGCAGGGGCUGUUCUCUUUGUAUACCACCCAGCACACAGAGAGCAGUCAAUAAACACUGAGUGGAGCUUAUCGCAAAGACAAACAACAGAAACCUAGAGGGCCUUUGAGUUUUAGCAUUAAGCCUUUGCAUUAAACAAAACAAAAGAAUAUAAAAUCGAGGUUACCUAAAUCAAUUAAAUAUGUCAGGUGUGCUACCAGAUGGAGCGAGGCAAUGAAACCCUGUUCUGGAGCAGUGCUGGGCCUGCUGUUUACCACCCCAAUGAAGAGCUCAGACGAGCAGAGGCUGCCAACUAGGCAUUUGUUUAUAAGUCCUUCUUAACAUUUGUGUGACACAGAAUGUUACUGGAAUAGAAAAUUCCAUGUAUCACCAAACAGUAGUCCUACCCUGCUCUUUCCUCGUAGGAAGACUCUAAUCCACCUCUGCCUAGAGCCCGAGGAAAAGCAACCUCAGCAGCAGCAGCACUCCGUGAGAAGUCACGGGCGCUCAGGGGCCUUGAAGAGCAGCCUCAACAGCUCACAGCUGGCCGUAGCUCCACAGACUCAGGGGAGCCAGGGUCCUAUCCUGGACUCUGCAGGCACUGCAUCCAUGUGGAGUGCACACAUACAUCAGGCAAACAACUCCACAGGCAGAGGUAGGCAGACCUCUGAUUUGAGACUAGCCUGGCUCUAUAGGGUCCUGGACAGCCAGAGGUACACAGUGAGACCCUGCUGGGGGAAAGCAAGUGUUCUUUACGUAUAGUAUUGGGGUGAUUAAUGGGAAAGUAUGUUUGGUGCUCUUGUUCCCUGACUUAAGACAGGGAUUUAAACAACAUAUUUUAGAUUUAUUUACUUACUUUACUAUAUUAUGUGUAUGAGUGUUUGUCUGAACACGUGUAUAUAUACCACAUAUGUGCCUGGUGCCCUUGGAGGUCAGGGGAGGGUGUUGGGUGCCCCGGGACUGGAGUUGCCGACAGGUACAAGAAGCCAUGUGGAUGCUGGGAAUCAAAUCCCGAUCCUCUGCAAAAACAACAGGUGUUCAGAACUGCUGAAUCAACUCACCAGCCUGGGACUUCUUUCUCUUCCUAGGUAUAUACUGUACUGGCAUUGUCUUUCUUGGUAAUGUUUGACACUACAGAAAAGUAGCUGAAUGGGCAGAUUUUUCAUUCAGAACUUCUGGGUUCAAUUUUGUUCUCUAUGACAAACUACCUAUGAUGUAUGUCUUUAGUAUUUUUUAAAACUGAUUCAGUUCUUGGCUUAAUAAUUUUUGUACAUGAACUAGUCCGAGGUCUACAAAUAAUGAGUAGAUAAGUAAACUCCAUUUUCCUUUACAUACACAGUGAAGGCUCAGUGUGGGUGGGUUUCAGAAGACCUAAUCUGCUGUGCACCAGUCUCAUUCAUUCCCUGCGUGCGUGCAUGCGUGCGUGGUGGGGAUGGACCAUAGGAUCUUACACAUCCUGGACUCUAUUACUGAGCUAGAGACUCAAUACAUUAGACUCUCUGGUUGUUGUUUUGUUUUGUUUUGUUUUGUUUUGUUUUGUUUUGUUUUGUUUUGUUUUGUUUUGUGAGACAGGGUUUCUCUGUAACAGCCCUGGCUGUCCUUGAACUCACAGAUAUCUGUCUGCUUCUGCCCCUGAGUGGUGAGACCAUGUGUUGCCACCAUGCUUGUCUAGACACUUUUUUAAAAAGUUACUUAUUUUAUGUGUCUAAGUGUUUUGCAGGCAUAUCUGUGCACUAUCUGCACGUCUGGUGUCUACAGAGGCCAGAAGAAGACUCAGAUCUACUGUCAACUGGAGUUAUGGAUGGCUGUGAAUCACCAUUUGGAUACCGAGAGUUGAACUGAGGUCUUCUGUAAGAGCAGUAGGAACUCUUUUAUUUUGAUUUAUUUUCUUAUUUGGGGAUGUGUGUGUGCAGGUAUGCAAAUGUGUGGAGGUCAAAGGUCAACCUCAGGUGACAUUCUUCAGUUAGUCACUUUGUUUUGUAUUUUAUUUUAUUUUUUUCUGGUUUUGUGUUUUUAUUGGGGUUUAUUAUGGGCAGGAGGAACUGCCACCAUAAAGCAUGCCCCUCCCACCAAGCAGGUCCUUCUAAUCCUCCUCCCGGGCCUUCUGCGACUUUUUCUUUUUCUUUGUGCUGCUCUUUGUGCAGCUAGCAGCAGCCUCAGGCUCCUCAGAGAAUUCCCUUUUCUUCUGAGGGGUGAUGGGGCUCGCUGCCUCCUCCAGUUCACUGGCCACUUCCUCUCCAGGUAAGGACUUCUUUUUCUUAGGAACACUUAUGCUGCUAGUAUUGUUUUGUAUUUUAAAUAGAGUUUUUUGUUUAUUUGAAACAGGGUUUCUCUAUGUAACAGCCCUGACUGUCCUGGAAUCUCCUCUGUAGACCAAGCUGGCUUACAAUUCUCAGAGAUCUGCCUACCUCUGUCUC